rnacentral:rRNA from 1 species
AUGCGUUGUUGGGUAGGGGAGCGUUCUGUAAGCCUGUGAAGGUGGCCUGUGAGGGUGGCUGGAGGUAUCAGAAGUGCGAAUGCUGACAUAAGUAACGAUAAAGCGGGUGAAAAGCCCGCUCGCCGGAAGACCAAGGGUUCCUGUCCAACGUUAAUCGGGGCAGGGUGAGUCGACCCCUAAGGCGAGGCCGAAAGGCGUAGUCGAUGGGAAACGGGUUAAUAUUCCCGUACUUGGUGUUACUGCGAAGGGGGGACGGAGAAGGCUAUGUUGGCCGGGCGACGGUUGUCCCGGUUUAAGCGUGUAGGUGUGUGUUCCAGGUAAAUCCGGUUCACUUUAACACUGAGGCGUGACGACGAGGCACUACGGUGCUGAAGCAACAAAUGCCCUGCUUCCAGGAAAAGCCUCUAAGCAUCAGGUAACAUCAAAUCGUACCCCAAACCGACACAGGUGGUCAGGUAGAGAAUACCAAGGCGCUUGAGAGAACUCGGGUGAAGGAACUAGGCAAAAUGGUGCCGUAACUUCGGGAGAAGGCACGCUGACAUGUAGGUGAAGUGAUUUACUCAUGGAGCUGAAGUCAGUCGAAGAUACCAGCUGGCUGCAACUGUUUAUUAAAAACACAGCACUGUGCAAACACGAAAGUGGACGUAUACGGUGUGACGCCUGCCCGGUGCCGGAAGGUUAAUUGAUGGGGUCAGCGCAAGCGAAGCUCCUGAUCGAAGCCCCGGUAAACGGCGGCCGUAACUAUAACGGUCCUAAGGUAGCGAAAUUCCUUGUCGGGUAAGUUCCGACCUGCACGAAUGGCGUAAUGAUGGCCAGGCUGUCUCCACCCGAGACUCAGUGAAAUUGAACUCGCUGUGAAGAUGCAGUGUACCCGCGGCAAGACGGAAAGACCCCGUGAACCUUUACUAUAGCUUGACACUGAACAUUGAGCCUUGAUGUGUAG